rnacentral:rRNA from 1 species
CCUACGGGUGACUGCAGUGAGGAAUAUUGGUCAAUGGGCGCGAGCCUGAACCAGCCAAGUAGCGUGAAGGAUGACUGCCCUACGGGUUGUAAACUUCUGUUAUAAAGGAAUAAAGUGAGGCACGUGUGCCUUUUUGUAUGUACUUUAUGAAUAAGGAUCGGCUAACUCCGUGCCAGCAGCCGCGGUAAUACGGAGGAUCCGAGCGUUAUCCGGAUUUAUUGGGUUUAAAGGGAGCGUAGAUGGGUUGUUAAGUCAGUAGCGUAACUCCAAGGCUCAACCUUGGAACUACUACUAAAACUGUUGGACUUGAGUGCAGGAGGUGCAACCGGCCUUCCUAGUGUAGCGGUUUAAUGCGUAGAUAUUAGGCGGAACCCCAGUGGCGACGGCGGGUUGCUAGACUGUACCUGACACUGAGGCAC